rnacentral:lncRNA from 10 species
UAAAUUCUAGGAAGAAACACCAGAGCCCUUCAACCAGAAUCAAGAUGAGGAAUGUGAGGAUUAUGGAUGUUAAGUAUCUUGCCCAUAGUAAACUGGAAACCAAGAUGCCAGGUGGAAGAGUCUGGAUUCAAUUGCAGGCUUCUUCAGAACAAAGGAUAAAGGUUUAAAUCACCCCGCCAGAGGAAAAUCUUCACCAGCUGAAGGUGGCCGAAGACUUCUGAGUGACGUGCAAGUGUGUCCAGAAUUGGUGGGUUCUUCGUCUCACCCACUUCAAGGAUGAAGCCACAGACCCUCAUGGUUGACGUGCAGGCAUUGGCUUCACCAAGAGGAACCAGGCCUAAGAAUUGUAUGCAGUUCCAAAGUGGAGGAAGAAUUGUAUGCAGUUUGGAGAACACAUGGGCGGGGUACUAAAACUCAUGAGGACCCUGUACACAGUCCAGGGUAUAAGCAUCAAUAAUAACGUCAGUUCACAUAUCUGCUGAGGUUGAUUCUCCAGUUGAAACAAA